CAAGAAUAAACCAAAAAUAAUCUGAAGAAAUUUCAUUCCUUCUGAGAGAGGCAAAUAGGAUGUAGAAACCCUGCCCAGCUGACUCAAAAUGAAAAGUCCAGAAGCAGUUGCCAAAACAUCUACCUCAAAGGGCACAUUUAAAUUGAAUGAGGAAUCCCAUCCCUACGUAAGGACCAAUGCUUUGGGACUGAAACACCAAUGAAAUGACAAAGCCUUUUGUUUUUCUAUUUUCACAGAGGGUUUUGAGUCAAAGGAUUUUUUCAACUAUUAGUUGUUCCAUGGGUACUAUUGAUCAAUGGAGUGGGAGAGAUUGUCUGUUACCCCAUGGCUGUGCUUUCCACCAUCUUUCCCAACAUAGCACAUGUGGAAAAGGGCGGGCUGCCUCUGGCUGGAGGUGAUCAUCUGCAAAGGAGCACUUCUCAAGGAGACUGCCGCCAGAACUCAAUCAGAAACUCAAUUGUAAAGUCACUCCAGCACAGUCAUUCUCUGCCAACAAUUCUGCUAAUAAGAUCGCUUAAUUUUUCUGUAUCACCUUAUGGGCUCGGACUAUCUUUCUUAUUUAAAAUUCCUUAACGUCAAUACAUUUGGAAUGAUGUUCUGUAUGAUUUAGUGUUAUUUUCCACAGAUACAGGUUGCCCCAACUAGAUGGGUCUUUCCCUGCAUGCUGGUGGAUCUCUCUGGCUGCACUGUUUCUGGUAGGAAUCUGCCCUAUAUAUUUUUGCUGCAUUAUUCCGCAAUCAGGGGGGCUCUGGUAAACAAACAGGCAGCUCACAAGUGAAGGACUGAUACCUUAUAGAUUCAUGGCAUUUCCAUCAAAAUUCAAAGAUCUAGGCUUCAAAGGGGAAAGGCGAAAUUAGGCAAUUUUGACCAAAUGAACAGCAUUUCAACAUCAAAGACAUAUAAGGAUGGGCAUUGUAGUUUUGAUGUUUGUAACAGAAGAAAAUUAGUGUUUGUUGAAUAUAGCUGGACUCUGUCUAGCGUUUCAGGAGAGCUUCCCUUUCUGAAGGAGCACUUGUGAGCUGAGGCGACCAGAAAACUUUCUGAAGAGUGGGGAGUAUUAGACCAGCCAAAAGAACCUUCGAAGGGCAGAUGAAAAUUCAUCCUCCCCAACAGUUUUGGCAAGCCAGCCAGAGAUAUUCCUGGCUUGGCACUGUUCACCCCAAAGCUGCUACAGUAGAAAGAUCCUGGGACCUCUGACAAGCGCCAGCAAAAGGCCUAACUUUGGAAGCCCACCUGUAUCACCACCUCCUGAAAUGAGACACAACUGUUUAACUGGACUGAUCUAUUCUCAGGACUAAGAGAUUGGUUUGGUGAGAUGGAGCAGUCUACCAACUAAAAUUCUGGACUGUGAAACUUCUUUGAGAAGUUUCAAAGGCAGGACUGAAGAAGCUCAAAAUGAGCCUUCCCAAAAUAAGACACUUUUGCAUGUGCAUUAUUUUGAGCUAGGGGCACUGGAGACUGUGUGAGUUCAAGAGAAAACUUUGCCCCUCCCUUAACUACCUAGAAGAAUUUAAAUUGGGGGUCUUUCCCAGAAUAAGAAUUAUUACCAGAGAUAAGUUUUAUCUGAGUGAUCCAUCUGUAUGACAGGGAAAACAUCUAAUUACCAAACAUCUGCUCUUCUUCUUAUCAUUUUGUGAACUUCCCUCCUCCUCUUUGAAGCCCCAGGCCCCUAUACUUUUCCUUAGCUCAAGAUGGCAUUUAUAUCUCAUUUUACCUUUCUCUCUUGGAACCUCUUAUGUAUAUGAGGAUCCUGUACAUAUUAAAUUAAACUUGUUUUUCUCCUGUUAAUCUGUAUCAUGUCAAUUUGCUUAUUAGAUCAACCAACAGAUCCUUUGAAAGAGAGAGGAAAAUUCUUCCUCUCAAACAAUAGAAAUAAAUACAAAUGUUAAUUUAGAACUAGAAAUGGCACUUUAAAAAAAUGGUAUGUUCUAGAUGUAUUUAUCUAAAAUUAGAGGAAAAUGAUGUUCAGUUAUUUAUUACUAAAUAAAAUGUCAAUAUUUGUGUCAUUCAUAGUGGC
rnacentral:lncRNA from 1 species